rnacentral:lncRNA from 1 species
CACACACACACACACACACACACACAAAUAAGGGCUCAGUUUGGUGCUUUAGAUGGCAUUAAGAAAUUAAUUAAAGAAAGAAAAAAGAUUAGAAAAUAUUCUAAUGCAUUACAGGUCAUAAAGGUAAGUAAUGUUUUGUGAAGUUUCAAAUAUAGAAUAAAGGUACUAAAAUCACAGUGUAAAAUUAAUUUUAUUUUGUGGAUUCCAGUAAGGAAAACAAAAAACAAAAAACACCAGAAACAAACAUACUGACAUCAGGAUGCUCUCAUCCCUUCAGGCUAUUCUUCCUUGGUAAAGUCACUUGACUGCUGACAGUCUGUUUCCUGGACUAUAAAAUGAAGAUGCUAUGAAUACUGCUGAAGUGACUAACUGAUGACGUAUCAAUGUCAAACAUAAGUAUCGGUGAAAGAACUAUUUUGAAAUAAACAUCCUGGUUAAUCACUAAGGUCUAAGGAGGAAAACUGAAGACGAAGUUCAACAGACCCGUCACUAGUGGAGCCUGGCUUUCUCCUUGGAGAAAGCAGUAACCAGACUCUACCUAUUACAAUGAGAAGCUGCACUCAGGAUAAUUAUGGCUCGGAAGUAAAGUACACUUGGAAGAAGGCCAAGAAGGCAACUUAAGAUAUCAAGUGUGCCAAUCCAAUUUGCUUUUCAUUCCAUGGGGCAUUUUCAGAAUACCCAGCUUCCCAGUAUCUUCAGAAUCACAGCUUCCAAAGGUAACCUGCAUUUCUAAGAGAGGCCAACUCAUAAAUGACAGAAUGUCUGCUCAGGAUAAAUCUUCCCCCAGUGAGGCACUGCGCUUGGAUAGAUGACUGAGCAAGUUACACAACCCAGGGUCUCAAAUGUCAUUAUGUAUGGAUUACCUGGAUUUAAUUCUAUAUUACACUAUUAUCAUAUGUUGGUAGAGUUCAAGAUUUGUCUGGAUUUCAGUA